rnacentral:rRNA from 1 species
CAGUAGCCGCGGGAAUACAGAGGGUGCAAGCGUUAAUCGGAAUUACUGGGCGUAAAGCGCGCGUAGGUGGUUUGUUAAGUUGGAUGUGAAAGCCCCGGGCUCAACCUGGGAACUGCAUCCAAAACUGGCAAGCUAGAGUACGGUAGAGGGUGGUGGAAUUUCCUGUGUAGCGGUGAAAUGCGUAGAUAUAGGAAGGAACACCAGUGGCGAAGGCGACCACCUGGACUGAUACUGACACUGAGGUGCGAAAGCGUGGGAAGCAAACAGGAUUAGAUACCCCGGUAGUCCCUGUCUCUUAUAC